GAAACAGGUGCUAAUACCGUAUAACAAUCGAAACCGCAUGGUUUUGAUUUGAAAGGCGCUUUCGGGUGUCGCUGAUGGAUGGACCCGCGGUGCAUUAGCUAGUUGGUGAGGUAACGGCUCACCAAGGCCACGAUGCAUAGCCGACCUGAGAGGGUGAUCGGCCACAUUGGGACUGAGACACGGCCCAAACUCCUACGGGAGGCAGCAGUAGGGAAUCUUCGGCAAUGGACGAAAGUCUGACCGAGCAACGCCGCGUGAGUGAAGAAGGUUUUCGGAUCGUAAAACUCUGUUGUUAGAGAAGAACAAGGAUGAGAGUAACUGUUCAUCCCUUGACGGUAUCUAACCAGAAAGCCACGGCUAACUACGUGCCAGCAGCCGCGGUAAUACGUAGGUGGCAAGCGUUGUCCGGAUUUAUUGGGCGUAAAGCGAGCGCAGGCGGUUUCUUAAGUCUGAUGUGAAAGCCCCCGGCUCAACCGGGGAGGGUCAUUGGAAACUGGGAGACUUGAGUGCAGAAGAGGAGAGUGGAAUUCCAUGUGUAGCGGUGAAAUGCGUAGAUAUAUGGAGGAACACCAGUGGCGAAGGCGGCUCUCUGGUCUGUAACUGACGCUGAGGCUCGAAAGCGUGGGGAGCAAACAGGAUUAGAUACCCUGGUAGUCCACGCCGUAAACGAUGAGUGCUAAGUGUUGGAGGGUUUCCGCCCUUCAGUGCUGCAGCUAACGCAUUAAGCACUCCGCCUGGGGAGUACGACCGCAAGGUUGAAACUCAAAGGAAUUGACGGGGGCCCGCACAAGCGGUGGAGCAUGUGGUUUAAUUCGAAGCAACGCGAAGAACCUUACCAGGUCUUGACAUCCUUUGACCACUCUAGAGAUAGAGCUUCCCCUUCGGGGGCAAAGUGACAGGUGGUGCAUGGUUGUCGUCAGCUCGUGUCGUGAGAUGUUGGGUUAAGUCC
rnacentral:rRNA from 1 species